rnacentral:rRNA from 1 species
GAAUCUGCCUUCAGGUCGGGGACAACCACUGGAAACGGUGGCUAAUACCCGAUGUGCGCAACGUGAAAGAUUUAUCGCCUGAAGAGGAGCUCGCGUCUGAUUAGCUAGUUGGUGGGGUAAAAGCUCACCAAGGCGACGAUCAGUAGCUGGUCUGAGAGGAUGAUCAGCCACACUGGGACUGAGACACGGCCCAGACUCCUACGGGAGGCAGCAGUGGGGAAUUUUCCGCAAUGGGCGAAAGCCUGACGGAGCAAGACCGCGUGGGGGAGGAAGGUUCUUGGAUUGUAAACCCCUUUUCUCAGGGAAGAACAAAAUGACGGUACCUGAGGAAUCAGCAUCGGCUAACUCCGUGCCAGCAGCCGCGGUAAUACGGAGGAUGCAAGCGUUAUCCGGAAUAAUUGGGCGUAAAGCGUCCGUAGGUGGCUGUUCAAGUCUGCCGUUAAAGACCGGGGCUUAACCCUGGAAAGGCGGUGGAAACUGAACGGCUAGAGUGCAGUAGGGGUAGAGGGAAUUCCCAGUGUAGCGGUGAAAUGCGUAGAGAUUGGGAAGAACACCGGUGGCGAAAGCGCUCUGCUGGACUGCAACUGACACUGAGGGACGAAAGCUAGGGGAGCG